AUUGUGGUUUGGGGGUCAGCACCCACCAGUGCCAGGGCACUACUGGGAGGCUGGGACCUGACCAAAGCCCAUGGUGUCUGUGGCCUGAGGACAGGGUGUCUUGGGGCCAUGAGGACAGGCCACCAAUGGCCGUUGGGUCAUAGGGCCUGAGCCCCAGUGUUUGUCCUUCCCUGGCUCCUUCUGGUUCAGUCCCAUCAGGGCUCUGGAUCCCAAGACGCAGCAUCCAAGGUUCCCUCCAGGAAUCCUGGUGGCUUGGCUUACUUUGUCAUGUUUCAUCUGAUAGCAAAAAUAUCAGAUCGGCUGCACAGAAAAAAUGGCUCAAAGUGCUUAAUGACCAGAAGAAAUCUAGGAGCAGCAAGAAGAUGCCUCAGCUGCUCUACAAGGGAGUCCCAUUUCAGGUGUGGGGCUGGGUAUGGUCAUUCCUGCUGGAUGUCUAGAAGGUGAAAAACAAGGACCUAGGAAAAUACCAGAUACAGCAUUUCCACCGUCAUCCAGAGCAGGACAAACACGCCAGGUGGUGUCAGGAGCCUAGGUCUCCAGCUGGAGGGAACGUCAACCCUGCAGUGGGAGCCCAUCAUGCAUCCUAGGCACAGAUGCUAAUGUAGGCACCGCAG
rnacentral:lncRNA from 1 species